GGGGGUGUGGCGAAAUUGGCAACCGCAGUGGACUCCUAAUCCACCAACCUGACCGGGUUUUGUGGGUUCAAAUCCCACCACCCCCACCA
rnacentral:tRNA from 1 species